rnacentral:rRNA from 1 species
GUCCAGACUCCUACGGGAGGCAGCAGUGGGGAAUAUUGCACAAUGGGGGAAACCCUGAUGCAGCGACGCCGCGUGAGCGAUGAAGUAUUUCGGUAUGUAAAGCUCUAUCAGCAGGGAGGAAAAUGACGGUACCUGACUAAGAAGCCCCGGCUAACUACGUGCCAGCAGCCGCGGUAAUACGUAGGGGGCAAGCGUUAUCCGGAUUUACUGGGUGUAAAGGGAGCGUAGACGGCUGUGCAAGCCAGAUGUGAAAGCCCGGGGCUCAACCCCGGGACUGCAUUUGGAACUGUGUGGCUGGAGUGUCGGAGAGGCAGGCGGAAUUCCUAGUGUAGCGGUGAAAUGCGUAGAUAUUAGGAGGAACACCGGUGGCGAAGGCGGCCUGCUGGACUGCGACUGACGUUGAGGCCCGAAAGCGUGGGGAGCAAACAGGAUUAGAUACCCCGGUA